rfam:Pelosinus fermentans B4 ctg29, whole genome shotgun sequence.
UGGGUGGUAUCAGUUAUGAACCAUACUGUAAAAAGAACUUGUUGCUAUAGUAUUCCACAGUUUCAUAUCGAAUUAUAGCCGCUUAGAUCUUUUAAUGGACUGAGACGGGAGG